rnacentral:rRNA from 1 species
CCCGGUUGAUCCUGCCAGAGGUUACUGCUAUCAGGGUUUGAUUAAGCCAUGCAAGUUAUGUGUUUUUUGUAAACACGGCGAACUGCUCAGUAACACGCGGAUAAUCUGCCCUCAGGUUUGGGAUAACCCCGGGAAACUGGGGAUAAUACCAAAUGUUUCAAGGUUGCUGGAAUGCUCUUUGAUUGAAAGCUUCGGUGCCUGAGGAUGAGUCUGCGGCCUAUCAGGUUGUAGUGGGUGUAACGUACCUACUAGCCAGCGACGGGUACGGGUUGUGAGAGCAAGAGCCCGGAGAUGGAUUCUGAGACAUGAAUCCAGGCCCUACGGGGUGCAGCAGGCGCGAAACCUUUACAAUGCGCGAAAGCGCGAUAAGGAGACCCUGAGUGCUAGCACAUAGUGCUGGCUGUCCAGCUGUCUAAAAAGCAGUUGUUAGCAAGGGCCGGGCAAGACCGGUGCCAGCCGCCGCGGUAACACCGGCGGCCCGAGUGGUAACCGAUUUUAUUGGGCUUAAAGCGUUCGUAGCCGGUUUAGUAAGUUUCUUAGGAAAUCUAGCAGCUUAACUGUUAGACGUCUAAGAGAUACUGCUAUGACUUGGGACCGGGAGAGGUAGGAGGUACUCCAGGGGUAGGGGUGAAAUCUUGUAAUCCUUGGGGGACCAUCGAUGGCGAAGGCAUCCUACCAGAACGGGUUCGACGGUGAGGGACGAAAGCUGGGGGCACAAACCGGAUUAGAUACCCGGGUAGUCCCAGCUGUAAACGAUGCUCGCUAGGUGUCAGAUACGGUGCGUCCGUAUUUGGUGCCGUAGGGAAACCGUGCGCGAGCCGCCUGGGAAGUACGGUCGCAAGGCUGAAACUUAAAGG